rnacentral:lncRNA from 1 species
GUCAGCGCGUUCGGUCCGGUACGGAUUCGGUCCGCGAAAAAUCGGGAAAAUACGGGAAAAUUCGGGAAAUUAAACGGGAAAACGUAUCGUGCAGUAUCGGAGUAAUGUGCAGUGUACAACAACAAGUGUGUGUUAGUGAAGUGUAGGGAAAUGUUUGAGCAUUUAAUGGGCAAAAUUGCGGAGGAGCACAGCGAGGCUAGAAGGAGAUCGUCGAUGGAAAUAUGCGGCAAUAUGUGAAAGUGAAGUGUGUGUUAGUGAAGUUAAAGAAAAUGUGGUGCAAUGGUUGAACAUUUAGUGGACAAAAAAUGCGAGAUCAUUUACGAAAUAUGCGACAAUAUGUGAAAGUGAAGUGUGUGUUAGUGAAAUGCAGUGAAAUGUGGUGAAAUAGUUGAGCAUUUAAUGGGCAAAAAAUGCGAGAUCAAAUGCGGAGGAGCACAACGAGGCUAAAAGCUAAAAGCAGAUC